GAAAACUGAAAGUGCCUUUCUUCACAAGAAACUAUUGUGUUUUCCUCUUUUUUCAUAACCCACAGGGAAGGUAUCAGCCUGCAGGAGCCCACCCCGAGGAGCCCCAUGCUAUGUGAUACGGGUCCUGGUGAUAGGAACCUCUCUUCUGGCUGUUAAAGUGCAUUCCCGUGUAGAUGUGGAAAGAGAGAAAGCAUGCUGGAGCCGGAGCUAGGCUAGGAAUGAGCCUGGGGGAGGGGGCCAGAGAAGCCACGGAAGGGGCCUGAGAACUUACAGCAAAGUCCAAGAGAAAAGGAGCUGGGAAACUGGCGAUGUUGGAAAGCAAGGCGGUUCUGAUUACACUUGGAUUUUUACUGAAGCACAAUUGCAGUUCGACUCCUGAGUCCCUGAAGACAAAGGUAGUUACCUCAAGGUCCUGCAAUGUAGGGGAUUUUUCAGGAGGCCGGACAUCUGUUGGUGGAUACCUUCCAUCCCACCCUCUUCAAAAUGAGACCAUUUUGACACUCUAAGGGUAUGUGUGUUUCAGGGGGUAGGGGGUAGCUUUCUGAGUCUAGAAAUUUUCACAAGCGAUAAUCACAAAGAUGUAACACGGGGCUGUUGGUAUAUAAAAAUGGUGAGUCAGUCUUUCAUCCCAGGCCUUGCCUGGGAUUGCUACUGGGGAGAAAUGGUAGAGGACAUGAGUCCUGCUCUCCCAGGGCCGACCUCAGUCACAGCUGGGAAACCAGCUCUCCAAGCAUUGGCUUCUCCUUUGACUAUGUCGAUGACAACAGGUCACACCCAGCCUUUGAGAAGCUUCUCUGCCCUAUGCAAAAGGCACAAACAGCCCCGUCUGUUAGCAGUAAUCUCAUACUGGAACAUCUCCCCUUAGCACCUCCCCACAGAAGCAUCGACCUCUCCAAGGGAGCAGCACAGAGGUGGUACU